GCUCAGCCAUAAACCAAGAUAAUUCAAACAACAAAAUUAUCCGCCAGAGAACUACUAGCCAACGCUUAAAACUCAAAGGACUUGACGGUGUCCUAAACCCCCCUAGAGGAGCCUGUUCUAUAAUCGAUAAACCCCGAUAAACCCCACCUAUUCUUGCCAAUACAGCCUAUAUACCGCCAUCGUCAGCCUACCCCACAGGGUAAUAAAGUAAGCAAAAGCAUCACCCAUAAAAACGUUAGGUCAAGGUGUAGCAUAUGAAUAGGAAAGAAAUGGGCUACAUUUCCUAAACUAGAAAACAACGGACUAUCUUAUGAAAUUAAGAUACCGAAGGAGGAUUUAGUAGUAAAUUAAGAAUAGAGAGCUUAAUUGAAAUAGGCAAUAGGACGCGU
rnacentral:rRNA from 1 species